rnacentral:rRNA from 1 species
UACAGAGGGUGCAAGCGUUAAUCGGAAUUACUGGGCGUAAAGCGUGCGUAGACGGUUAUGUAAGUCGGGUGUGAAAGCCCCGGGCUCAACCUGGGAAUUGCAUUCGAGACUGCAUAGCUAGGGUGCGGAAGAGGGAAGCGGAAUUUCCGGUGUAGCGGUGAAAUGCGUAGAUAUCGGAAGGAACACCAGUGGCGAAAGCGGCUUCCUGGUCUGAGAUUGACGCUCAGGCACGAAAGCGUGGGGAGCAAACAGG